rnacentral:piRNA from 1 species
AUGGACUAAUACUGAUCUUCAA